rnacentral:piRNA from 1 species
UCCGAUGAGUCAUUCUUCAGG